rnacentral:rRNA from 1 species
GACGAACGCUGGCGGCGUGCCUAAUACAUGCAAGUAGGACGCAGUUGCGAACGGGUGAGUAACGCGUAGGUAACUACCUAUUAGAGGGGGAUAACUAUUGGAAACGAUAGCUAAUACCGCAUACUAGUAGAUGGACCUGCGUUGUAUUAGCUAGUAGGUAGGGUAAUGGCCUACCUAGGCAACGGUACAUAACAGAGCUGGGCGGGGGAUCGGGCACACUGGGACUGAGACACGGCCCAGAAUCCGACGGGAGGGCGCAGUAGGGAAUCUUCGGCAAGGGGGGGAACCCUUACCGAGCAACGCCGCGUGAGUGAAGAAGGUUUUCUGAUCGUAAAGCUCUGUUGUUAAGGAAGCGGUACUUAACCAGAAAGGGACGGCUAACUACGUGCCAGCAGCCGCGGUAAUUC